rnacentral:lncRNA from 1 species
UGUUCUUAAGUAUUUUACAAUCCCUAUCCUCACCCAGGGGUAAGCUCUAAAAACUGAAGGAAGGGCAUUUUCCUCAAGCUGAUGCUGCUUUCAAAUUGUGACAUACAAAUUAAUUACACAUAGAGGACUUUAAACGCAGACACAAAUUCAAAAUGAGUGCCCUGGGCUUCAACUUCCAGUGAUCCCCACAGCUCCGACUACCCAGAAUCCAGAAUCCACCACUGCCCAUUAACUCUGUACUGAAAGGAAAACUGGAGCCCAUUGCAAAAGGCCACAUGCAAGGCUGGGUGUAACCCAGUGACUGAGCACCCAGCAAGCUCGUGCAAGGUCCCAGGUUUCAGCUCAAGCACCUCAUAAGGCCUCAGAGUCUGACCAUGCCACCAUGUCUCAAACGGAAAUACUCUGGUACAACACUCCUAAAAAGUACAUAAAUUCUCUUUGAAAUCUUAGGAGAAAAAGCAAUGGCAUUAAGCUACAGCCUUGCAUCUAGUUUGCCAACGGGCAUCUUUCAUCCUCAAAUUCAAACCGUACCUUGAAUGUAGAAGUUCAGAGUAAGAAAUUUAACCACAAACCCUGAGGAGACUACAGAGUAGCUUGUGGAGUCAGGCAAGUCCCAGCCCUAGGGCCCUAACACAGCUGGCCUGGGUAGUACAGGACCCGUAACCUACAGAAAUAGUUCAACUAACAUGACAAAGACCUGAGCUCAAGUUCAGAGCCUACACGGUCCACACAGCCAAGGCUCAGUUCCCCUGCUCAGUCACACUUAAGCAUUUCUUGGUGAAAUUUCACUGCACUGAAGAUGUGGGAGGCUGAGGCUCACCUAUCAAUGUUGGUUUUGAGAGCAGCUCUGUCUGUUUGCAUUGUUGUUUGCAUCCUGCAACCCCACCCCCCCACCCCCACUCCAUGUAGUAAGUUGGAGACUGGAGACAAGACCUUGCUUUCCUGGGUGCACAGCCUGCAGGAUUUGGAUGGCAGAAGAUGACAGGAGUCUGUUUGCAGCCCUUCUCGACAUUCCUAUUAGUCUUUUCUCUUCUUCCUGGGCUAGGAGAUGCUUGGAUCUGGGGCUUCCUCAGCAGGGUUGUCCCAUGCCAUAUGUCCUUUGUGGGGGUUAGGCUAAUGUUGUGUUAUGGUUUGUGACCAACGACUCAGAAAUCCCUUACUUAUCCCAGCAUGGGAAUCAUGGCUGUAAAGCAGGGGCCAAGGACACUCAGUACUGUAACUCCCUUUUGGCACUUGUGUUUUAAGGUACAUACUUAAAGAAAGAGUGUGGAGUUAAGAGGCUCCUUUACCACAGUUUGAGGCUGCAUAUCUGGUCUUUCAUUUGUUUGAUCUAUGCAUAUAAACUGAGAACAAAAAUCUUAAAAGAAAUCUUCCAAAGGCAUCAGAAUGAAAAACCCACUGUGUUCACGAAUAACCCCUAGCAAUACUAUCUGUCCCCGUACCUAUAUUCUAAGAGACAGAGAGAGAGAGAGAGAGAGAGAGAGAGACAGACAGACAGACAGAAAGAGAAAGAGAGACAGAGACAGAGACAGAGACACAGACAGACACAGACAGAGACACAGACACAGAGAAUAAGAGAGAGACAGAGACAAGGGGGGGGGAGGAGAAAGAGAGAGGAGAGAGGAGAAGCAAAUAUUGUUCUUCUUUUCCUCCUUACACAACCACAGUGAGAGAAGCCACUGCAUGUAGAUUCAAUGUAACGUGAUAACUUAAAUUUUUAUAAAUACAAAAGAAAUGGGGUUAGACAAGGACACGAAACUACCCAUCUGAUUUCUAAUAGCCUAAUCCAUGAAGAUGGCCAAACCUUCCUGAGACGACAUGUGUCCCACCCACAGCACUCCACAUGUACUUGUCACUGUGAGAGCAAAAGCAUACUCUUACUUAUAAAUUACCCCAGGCUAAGUGUCUGGGCUUAACACACCUCAGCCUUAUAUGAAAACCAUUGUCUGAAACAACAGUUUGGAGUUUCUGCAUCCUGGAGCUGUUCCACCAAGGAGAUCCGGGUAGUUAGCCUUUCGAUCUGAGAAACCUGCUGCUGCCCUCACUCAGGAAGCAGCAGGACUUGGCUGCAGAAUUAGGAAACACUGAUAUGUAGGAAUGGUCUGCUGUGUGCUACUACUGUGAAACUGUACUGAUUAUUACUAUGCAGUGUGCACUAUGGAUCCAUGUUAUUAAAAAGAAGUAUAUUGCAUUUAGUAACCACUGCCCUGGAGCAUCCAUGCAGCUUCCAGCACACACUUCUGCAUCACCAAAAUGAAGGCAUCACACUGCUCAUUCUGCUAACUUACCUCAGACUCAUCCGAGGGACGACAGAAGGGAAAGUGCGCAGACUUAGUUGAAAACGAUUAGGCAAAAGCGCUUUGUUGACAUUCAAGAGCAAAGAAGCACAACCUCUCCCAUAGAAAUUCCUAGGAUUGGCUGCAAAGUGACAGUCGUUUAAGAUGUAUAAUUAGAAUCAGCUGAGUGUGUGAAAGGGUUUUGGGGGUUUGUUUUUUUUAAUGCACUGUGUACGCCAUAUCCUGCACAAUGUUCCGAGGUCAAAGGUUUGAUAUUUUUGUAUAAUUCCAUCUUAUCUUGUACAUCCAUCCGCCGUGUGAUUUACGUCAAGGUAAAUGAGCAUCCUGUUUUAUGUCUUAAAUAAAAAUUAAUGACUCAAAGAAAAAAA